CCUACGGGAGGCAGCAGUGAGGAAUAUUGGUCAAUGGGCGAGAGCCUGAACCAGCCAAGUCGCGUGAAGGAUGAAGGAUCUAUGGUUUGUAAACUUCUUUUAUAUGGGAAUAAAGUGAGGAACGUGUUCCUUUUUGUAUGUACCAUAUGAAUAAGCAUCGGCUAACUCCGUGCCAGCAGCCGCGGUAAUACGGAGGAUGCGAGCGUUAUCCGGAUUUAUUGGGUUUAAAGGGUGCGUAGGUGGGUAAUUAAGUCAGUGGUGAAAGUUUGUGGCUAAACCAUAAAAUUGCCGUUGAAACUGGUUGACUUGAGUAUAUUUGAGGUAGGCGGAAUGCGUGGUGUAGCGGUGAAAUGCAUAGAUAUCACGCAGAACUCCGAUGGCGAAGGCAGCUUACUAAACUAUAACUGAUACUGAAGCACGAAAGCGUGGGGAGCAAACAGGAUUAGAUACCCUAGUAGUC
rnacentral:rRNA from 1 species